CACCAGGGAAGGAGGAUUCCCUUUUCUGCACACCCUCUCCAGCCUGUGUGGUUGUUUGACUUGUUAAUGGGGACCCUUCUGACCUGUGUCAGGUAGUGCCCCAUCAUGAGUGUGCGACCUCCUGUCGAUUUAGAGUCCUUUUUUGUUGUUGUUGUUGUUCUUCUCAUUCUCAUUAUCUUCUUCUCAUUCUUUGGUCUCCAGGUCUUAUUUCUAAAGUGUUUCCUUUUAGGGCCACACCUGUGGCCUAUGGCGGUUGCCCGGCUAGGUGUGGAUUUGGAGCUGUCCUUGCCAGGCUAGGCCCCAGCCAGAGCAAUGCCUGGUCCGAGCUACAUCGCUAAUCCGAGCCCCGGCUCAUGGCAUUGCUGGAUCCUUAAGGCACUGAGCGAGGCUGGGGAUCGAACCUGCAUCCUCAUGGAUUCUAGUCAGAAUGGUUUCUGCUGAGCCACAAGGGAAUGUCCUCGAGCUUGUUUGCCGUGCUCUGUCAGAUUUUGACUGGACAGCGUGCUGCCCCAGUUACACAUAGCUUGUUUGCCGUGCUCUGUCAGAUUUUGACUGGACAGCGUGCUGCCCCAGUUACACAUAGCUUGUUUGCCGUGCUCUGUCAGAUUUUGACUGGACAGCGUGCUGCCCCAGUUACACAUAGGUUUGUGCCUUCUUUUUGCUUAACUUAUCAUGCUUCCUCAGGCGUGACUAGACAGGGUGGCCAGUGCUCCCCAGCAGGAUCUCCUUGCUAAUCCAUUCCAAAGGCAAGAGUGUGUGUCUGUUAACCCUGAGUUCGCAAUGCAUCCCACUCCCUGGCCCUCCUCCUCCCUGGCAACCACAAGCCUAUUGUCCAAGUG
rnacentral:lncRNA from 9 species